UGGGGAAUAUUGCACAAUGGGCGGAAGCCUGAUGCAGCGACGCCGCGUGGGGGAUGACGGCCUUCGGGUUGUAAACUCCUUUCGACAGGGACGAAGCUUUUUGUGACGGUACCUGUAUAAGAAGCACCGGCUAACUACGUGCCAGCAGCCGCGGUAAUACGCAGGGUGCGAGCGUUGUCCGGAAUUACUGGGCGUAAAGAGCUCGUAGGUGGUUUGUCGCGUCGUCUGGGAAAUUCCGGGGCUUAACUCCGGGCGUGCAGGCGAUACGGGCAUAACUUGGGUGCUGUAGGGGGGACUGGAAUUCCUGGUGUAGCGGUGAAAUGCGCAGAUAUCAGGAGGAACACCGAUGGCGAAGGCAGGUCUAUGGGCAGUAACUGGCGCUGAGGAGCGAAAGCAGGGGUAGCGAACAGG
rnacentral:rRNA from 1 species